GCCCCCUUGGCGAAAUUGGUAGCCGCGCGGAUUUCAAGUGUCCGUUCCUUAGGGAGUGUCCGUUCGAGUCGGACAGGGGGUAC
rnacentral:tRNA from 1 species